GGCAAACCUGGGGACAAAGGCCAUGGUCCACCAAAGAAGCCUCAUAACCAGGGUGUCCAGGGAGGUCCCAAAGGCCCAGGUGGCCCAGGUGGCCCUCAAGGACCAGGUAGCCAAAAAGGACCAGGUGGCCCACAAGGACCAGGUGGCCAAGGGCGUCCAGGCAGCCAGGGUCGUCCAGGUGGCCCCCAAGGCCCAGCUGGCCAACAAGGACCAGGUAGCCAACAAGGGCCAGGUGGUCAAGGUCGUCCAGGUGGCCCACAAGGACCAGCUGGCCAACAGGGACCAGGUGGUCAAGGUCGUCCAGGUGGCCCACAAGGACCCGGUAGCCAACAAGGACCUGGAGGCCAAGGUGGUCCAGGUGGUCCACAAGGACCCGGUGGCCAAAAUGGUUCAGGUGACCCACAAGGACCAGCUGGCCAACAAGGACCCGGUAGCCAAGGUGGUCCAGGUCGUCCACAAGGACCCGGUGGCCAAAAUGGUUCAGGUGACCCACAAGGACCUGCUGGCCAACAAGGACCUGGGGGCCAAGGUGGUCCAGGUCGUCCACAAGGACCCGGUGGCCAAAAUGGUACAGGUGACCCUCAAGGACCAGCUGGCCAACAAGGACCCGGGGGCCAAGGUGGUCCAGGUCGUCCACAAGGACCCGGUGGCCAAAAUGGUUCAAGUGACCCACAAGGACCAGCUGGCCAACAAGGACCCGGUGGCCAAGGUGGUCCAGGUCGUCCACAAGGACCCGGUGGCCAAAAUGGUUCAGGUGACCCACAAGGACCAGCUGGCCAACAGGGACCAGGUAGCCAACAAGGACCAGGGGGCCCAGGUCAUCCAGGUGGCCCACCAGGACCCGGUACCCAACAAGGACCCGGUGGCCAAGGUGGACCAGGUCGUCCACAAGGACCUGGUGGCCAAAAUGGUUCAGGUGACCCACAAGGACCAGCUGGCCAACCGGGACCCGGGGGCCAAGGUCGUCCAGGUGGCCAACAAGGACCCGGUAGCCCACAAGGACCCGGUAGCCAAGGUGGUCCCGGUGGUCCACAAGGACCAGCUGGCCAACAAGGACCCAGUGGCCAAGGAGGUCCAGGAGGCCAACAAGGACCAGCUGGACAACAAGGACCAGGUAGCCCACAAGGACCAGCUGGACAACAAGGACCAGGUGGCCAAGGUCGUCCUGAUGGCCCUGGUGGCCCUGGUGCCCAGAGAGACCAACAGGGAAGAGAUGAGCAGCGUGGUCAGCCUGGUGGCCAGUGACAAGGAAUACCAACUAAAAAGGACCUCCGCUGAUGCUCUAGAAAUGCAUAGAGAUCAAGUGGUGACCAUGGAGUUUUCAGUGGUGGAAACUUGGCCUUUCCUUUCUCCGACUUCAAAUCAUCAAUAAAGUC
rnacentral:lncRNA from 1 species